GGGGCUAUAGCUCAGCUGGGAGAGCGCUUGAAUGGCAUUCAAGAGGUCAGGAGUUCGAUCCUCCUUAGCUCCACGA
rnacentral:tRNA from 1 species